rnacentral:rRNA from 1 species
AAAUUGAAGAGUUUGAUCAUGGCUCAGAUUGAACGUUGGCGGCAGGCCUUAGACAUGCAAGUCGAACGGUAACAGCAGAGCUUGCUCUGGCUGACGAGUGGCGGACGGGUGAGUAACGCGUAGGAAUCUACCCAAUAGCGGGGGAUAGCCCGGGGAAACUCGGAUUAAUACCGCAUACGCCCCACGGGGGAAAGGCCGGGAUCUUCGGACCGGUCACUAUUGGAGGAGCCUGCGUAGGAUUAGCUAGUUGGUGAGGUAAAGGCUCACCAAGGCGACGAUCCUUAGCUGGUCUGAGAGGACGAUCAGCCACACUGGAACUGAGACACGGUCCAGACUCCUACGGGAGGCAGCAGUNNGGCGGACGGGUGAGUAACGCGUAGGAAUCUACCCAGUAGCGGGGGAUAGCCCGGGGAAACCCGGAAUAAUACCGCAUACGCCCCACGGGGGAAAGAGGGCCUCUUCUUGAAAGCUCUCACUAUUGGAGGAGCCUGCGUUGGAUUAGCUAGUUGGUGGGGUAA